rnacentral:tRNA from 1 species
GGUAAUAUAGGUUAAGAUAAACCAGAAAGUUUAUUUCUUUCUAAUAACAUGUGUUUAUUACUU